CAGGAGUACAAGAUUUAAAUCAAGUCAUUAUUUUUUAUUCUUAAAUUACCUGUAUCGUCCAUUUUUUGUGUGUGUUUGUGAGUGUGUUUUAAUAAUAAACUUGUAUGAAACAACCAACAUGAGAUUGUUAACAAUAAUUGUCAUCUACUAUGUGCUGCUUCCUCCCAUACAAUUUCUGUUAGAAAUAGAAAUCAGUGGCCUGGCACAGUGGUCCAUGCCUAUAAUUUCAGCAACUCAGGAAGGAAAAACAGGAGGAAUACAAGUUCAAGGCUAGCCUCAGCCAACUUAGCAAGACCCUCAGCAAUUUAGUAAGACCCUGCUCAAAGUUUACCAAAAAAAAA
rnacentral:lncRNA from 1 species